CUUCGAUCUCAUCACCUUCUUUCCCCUCCCACCCCUCUUUUUGAUCCCCGCUUUGGGGCUUGCAAAUUUUUGACAUGUCAAAUGAGAGUGAAGCUAAAAUGUAAACAACAAGUGUUCGCGUGUGCCGUGAUUUUAAUAAACAUAAAAUCAACCACGGAAGUAUGAUUUAGUUGUGGUGGAAGCGAAAAAAAAUGCUUGGAGCAUGGAAUAAAACCGGAUGAAAUUUCUAGCCUUCACGCACGAUGCCGACGCUGAGGUUUUACAGGUGAACAACAAUUAGCAACUCCCGAUCGAAUUGCACACAACAACCACCCACAAUCACAGCUGUAAAAGUAACACGGAUAGGUAGCAAGGAAAUCAAGCUUGUACACAGAAAUCUACACAAAAACUGGGUAUUAUAAGCGCACGAAAAGCGACGAGGCUA